AGCUUUAUAGUCAAUAUAAUGAUAUUAGAUUGCAAAUCUUAAGUAGUAUAAUAUAUACUAAAGCUU
rnacentral:tRNA from 1 species